CCUACGGGUGGCAGCAGUGAGGAAUAUUGGUCAAUGGGCGAGAGCCUGAACCAGCCAAGUCGCGUGAGGGAGUACUGCCCUAUGGGUUGUAAACCUCUUUUGUCGGGGAGCAAAAGCAGGACGUGUCCGGCUGUGAGAGUACACGAAGAAAAAGCAUCGGCUAACUCCGUGCAAGCAGCCGCGGUAAUACGGAGGAUGCGAGCGUUAUCCGGAUUUAUGGGGUUUAAAGGGGGCGAAGGCGGAUUUUUAAGUCAGCGGUCAAAUCGUGGGGCUCAACCCCAUCCAGCCGUUGAAACUGGGGAUCUAGAGUGUGCGAGAGGUAUGCGGAAUGCGUGGUGUAGCGGUGAAAUGCAUAGAUAUCACGCAGAACCCCGAUUGCGAAGGCAGCAUACCGGUGCACAACUGACGCUCAGGCACGACAGCGUGGGUAUCGAACAGGAUUAGAUACCCUGGUAGUC
rnacentral:rRNA from 1 species